rnacentral:rRNA from 1 species
UACAGAGGUCUCAAGCGUUGUUCGGAUUCAUUGGGCGUAAAGGGUGCGUAGGCGGCGCGGUAAGUCGGGUGUGAAAUCUUGGAGCUUAACUCCGAAACUGCAUUCGAUACUGCCGUGCUUGAGGACUGGAGAGGAGACUGGAAUUCACGGUGUAGCAGUGAAAUGCGUAGAUAUCGUGAGGAAGACCAGUGGCGAAGGCGGGUCUCUGGACAGUUCCUGACACUGAGGCACGAAGGCCAGGGGAGCAAACGGG